ACUCUCUCUUCGGAGCAUCGGUGACAGGUGGUGCAUGGUUGUCGUCAGCUCGUGUCGUGAGAUGUUGGGUUAAGUCCCGCAACGAGCGCAACCCCUGUUCUUAGUAGCCAGCGGUUCGGCCGGGCACUCUAGGGAGACUGCCAGGGAUAACCUGGAGGAAGGCGGGGAUGACGUCAAAUCAUCAUGCCCCUUAUGACUUGGGCUACACACGUGCUACAAUGGCGUAAACAAAGGGAAGCGGAGCCGCGAGGCCGAGCAAAUCUCAAAAAUAACGUCUCAGUUCGGACUGUAGUCUGCAACCCGACUACACGAAGCUGGAAUCGCUAGUAAUCGCAGAUCAGAAUGCUGCGGUGAAUACGUUCCCGGGUCUUGUACAC
rnacentral:rRNA from 1 species